UACAGAGGUCUCAACCGUUGUUCGGAUUCAUUGGGCGUAAAGGGUGCGUAGGCGGUCGGGUAAGUCGGAUGUGAAAUCCCAGGGCUCAACCCUGGAACUGCAUUCGAUACUGCCUGGCUAGGGUACUGGAGAGGAGACUGGAAUUUACGGUGUAGCAGUGAAAUGCGUAGAUAUCGUGAGGAACACCAGAGGCGAAGGCGGCUACCUGGACAAUUGCUGACGCUCAGGCACGAAAGCGUGGGGAGCAAAAGGG
rnacentral:rRNA from 1 species